rnacentral:lncRNA from 1 species
GUGUCUGCGUCGGGUUCUGUUGGAGUGCGUUCGGUGCGCCGUGGGUCCGCGCUGCUUCCACCCAACUUCCUGUUAGGUUACAUUAGUUAUAAUAUACACUCUGGAGGUGACUUGACUUGUCAUUGUGAACAACUAUUGCUCUUGGACGACCCAGGACAUAGGCCAGCCAGUACGUACCCCAGUGUGUUGGAGAAUCGCACUCGGCUUCUUCCUCUGUGCUGAGUCAUGAAAGUUGCCGGAGCAGGUGCAGUUACACAACCUCCAGACAUCUAGGCUUGGUAUCAAGGCUUCUGAUCAACAUGAGAUGACCGCCGUGUAGUAAACUGAUGAACCCCGACCCUGAUCAACGUCAGAUGAACGCCGUGUGGUAAACUGAUGAACCCGACCCUGAU